GACGAACGCUGGCGGCGUGCGUAAUACAUGCAAGUAGAACGCUGAAGCUUGGUGCUUGCUCCGACGCGGAUGAGUUGCGAACGGGUGAGUAACGCGUAGGUAACCUGCCUGGUAGCGGGGGAUAACUAUUGGAAACGAUAGCUAAUACCGCAUAAAAGUAGUUAUUGCCUGAUAACUGUUUGAAAGGUGCAAAUGCAUCACUACCAGAUGGACCUGCGUUGUAUUAGCUAGUUGGUGGGGUAACGGCUCACCAAGGCAACGAUACAUAGCCGUCCUGAGAGGGUGAUCGGCCACACUGGGACUGAGACACGGCCCAGACUCCUACGGGAGGCAGCAGUAGGGAAUCUUCGGCAAUGGACGGAAGUCUGACCGAGCAACGCCGCGUGAGUGAAGAAGGUUUUCGGAUCGUAAAGCCUCUGUUGUAAGAGAAGAACGAUGUGCGAGAGUUUUUU
rnacentral:rRNA from 1 species